UACGUAGGGUGCGAGCGUUGUCCGGAAUUACUGGGCGUAAAGAGCUCGUAGGUGGUUUGUCGCGUUGUCCGUGAAAACUCACAACUCAAUUGUGGGCGUGCGGGCGAUACGGGCAGACUGGAGUACUGCAGGGGAGACUGGAAUUCCUGGUGUAGCGGUGGAAUGCGCAGAUAUCAGGAGGAACACCAGUGGCGAAGGCGCCGCUCUGGGCCGUGACUGACGCUGAGGAGCGAAAGCGUGGGUAGCAAACAGG
rnacentral:rRNA from 1 species